UCAUUCGGCACACAUGGGCACAUGAAUGAACAUUGUGUUUGAAAAAUCUCCUCAUGUAUUAAGUGUAGAAAGAAGAGAAGAACCAAAAAAAGAAAAGAAAUUCGAAAACGAAUUGUUGUAAGUGGAUUGCAAUUACAAAGAAUUGGCGUGAAAUACAAGUUUGUCGUGAAUUAGUAUAUAUUUUUUUUUAUAUAUUGGUGUGGUGGUUUGUGGAAUUUUUCGUUGGUCUCCGUACAUGUAUGUGUAUGUGUGGGGUUCAAGCGUGAACGGCAAACAAAUCGGUGUGACAAAGAAAGGGACAACACAACAGAGCAACGGUGUAAAGAGUACGGAUUGAUUACGCUUAUAAUCGAAAUUUGUCUCUAUUUCUCAGUGAAUGAGAGCCCUUUUACAUUUGAACGAUAAGUGAACGAAGCGGAGCGCGCUGAACUGCAAUCAAGCAGAAACGGCGAGAUUUUUUUUUUUCGUUCGGUGGUGAAACAAACAACCAUAUAAGAAGUGAACAACUCAGAAGAAUUUAAAAAACCGAAAACAGGACAAGAUUCUCGUGGCGAAAUAUACACGAACAACAGCAGUGAUUUGUGCAGAUACAAUAGAAAGAAAAAGCGAAAGCAAUUUUGUUUUUUAUUUUAUUUUAGUUACAUUUUGAAAUUUAAAUCGUAUAAUCAAGUAACCACAUCAAAAUGUCGGGCGAAGAAACAUCAGCUGAUAGAAAUGUCGAGAUCUGGAAAAUCAAAAAACUUAUUAAAAGUUUAGAAAUGGCUCGAGGAAAUGGCACCAGUAUGAUAUCGCUCAUCAUUCCACCGAAGGAUCAAAUUUCACGUGUUAGCAAAAUGUUGGCCGAUGAAUUUGGAACUGCGUCGAACAUAAAGUCACGUGUAAAUCGUUUAUCUGUGCUUGGUGCCAUAACAUCGGUACAACAUCGACUAAAACUAUACACCAAAGUGCCUCCGAAUGGUCUAGUUAUUUAUUGCGGGACAAUUGUAACCGAAGAAGGCAAAGAGAAAAAAGUCAACAUUGAUUUCGAACCAUUCAAACCAAUUAAUACCUCGUUAUAUCUAUGCGAUAAUAAAUUUCACACGGAAGCACUCACCGCAUUACUGGCUGAUGACAAUAAAUUCGGUUUUAUUGUGAUGGAUGGUAAUGGCGCACUAUUUGGUACACUGCAAGGGAAUACACGCGAAGUAUUGCACAAGUUUACAGUUGAUUUACCGAAAAAACACGGUCGUGGUGGUCAAUCGGCGUUACGUUUUGCACGUUUACGUAUGGAAAAACGGCAUAAUUACGUACGUAAAGUGGCCGAAGUUGCAACACAAUUGUUUAUUACAAAUGAUAAACCGAAUAUUGCUGGUCUUAUAUUGGCCGGUAGUGCUGAUUUUAAAACUGAACUGAGUCAAUCCGACAUGUUUGAUCCUAGAUUGCAAUCGAAAAUUAUCAAAUUGGUCGAUGUUUCGUAUGGCGGUGAAAACGGUUUUAAUCAGGCUAUUGAAUUAGCAGCUGAAUCAUUGCAAAAUGUUAAAUUUAUUCAAGAAAAGAAAUUGAUUGGCCGUUACUUCGAUGAAAUUUCGCAGGAUACUGGAAAAUACUGUUUUGGUGUUGAGGAUACGUUGCGAGCAUUAGAAUUGGGUUCAGUGGAAACAUUGAUUUGCUGGGAAAACUUAGACAUUCAACGUUACGUAUUGAAAAAUCACGCAAACUCGACAACAACAACAGUUUUGCAUCUGACACCGGAACAAGAAAAAGACAAGAGUCAUUUCACCGACAAAGAGAGUGGCGUCGAAAUGGAAUUAGUUGAAUCACAACCGCUUUUGGAAUGGUUGGCAAACAAUUACAAAAGCUUUGGUGCUACCUUGGAAAUCAUUACCGACAAAUCCCAAGAGGGAAGUCAAUUUGUGCGAGGAUUUGGUGGAAUCGGAGGAAUUCUUCGCUACAAAGUUGACUUUCAGUCGCUACAAGCUGACGAGUUACUGGACGACGUUGAUUUAGACGACUACUAAAUAAAAAUUCAUUAACAAAACCAAAUAGACCAAUCUAAAACUGAAACUAAACAAAAAAAAAACCCUUUAAAAUACUCAUCAACUGAUCGGAUUUGUUGCUCUUUUAUUCGUGGAUUGAACAAAAACGAAUCUCCCAUAACAGACAAAAAAAACAUCUUUAAGAAUAGAAAACGACAAAUUUUACAAAUUAUUACUAAUUUUGAAACAAAGCAUAAAUGAAUUUAUCAUAAUCACAAUUGACAUUAAUUUAACAAAAUAAAAAAGAAAAGUCUAGAUGCUGUUAUCCGUAUAAAUGUUCAACAGAAGGAAGGAGUCGAAUAAGAAAAACCUCUAAAAACUAACAGUAAAUAGAGAAUAUUAAGUUCAUCAGCUAAUUGUGUCAUGAUUGAUUAAAUGUUUGUAAAUGUGUGCGCCCGCAGUAAAUACUAUAGCGAAUCAUUUGAAAUUAUAUGACCCUGACACAUUGACACACACACACACAAAAACAAUUUAAAUAAUUGAAAUAAUACACAGAAACUAAAGAACACAAAAAUUCGACCGAUUUUGUAAAUAUAUUAAAACCUAGAUUAAAACCAACAUGGUAAACUUUCGCAACGGUAAAAAUCCAAGAAAAAAUCAAUCUCGAAAGACUCAACUAGAACCGGCAUUUAUCAAUUUUAUUUUCGUGCGCGUUUCAUUUCAAGCGUUGAGCAUCACAUAAAACGAUUUAGUUAUUUGGAGUAAACAAACGACAUUGCAAUUGGAAAUCAAAUAAACAAAAGAAUCAUAUAAAAAAAUUCUAAUUUUCAACAAAUUUAAAAAACCGUUCAUUUUAAAUGCUUAGUAUUUUAAAUAAAAAAAAAACAUUUUAAAUCGAUCGGAACAGUAACUGAAAAAGAGCAAAAAAAAUUAAAUUAAAAGCAAACUCCAGGGACAUUUACUUAUCACGACAUUCCAGCACAUUUUCGUAAAAGCUUAAAAUAACCCCUAACACAGACAAGCCUAACUCUUACCAUCAUAUGUUUAAGGAUGCUUACGCUAUAAGGUAGAUUUCCAAAGUAUGCAGCUGGAUGACAUUGAUAACGAGGACUUCGAUUUGGAGGGCUACUAAAUUGUGAACGCUUUACUGCAAAAACCAACUUUUCAAAUCCAACAACAACAACAAAACCACAUCAACAACAAUUUAUAAACAUAAUCAUAUAAAUCAAUACCGAUAUCUUUCGUAAUACGCUAAUGAAGUCAUCUAGGAUGAAUGGGGGGCGCAUGCAAACACACAAACUGAAAAUUGCGUCAAUAAUUAGCAAAAUUGAAAAACUAAAACAAAGAAAAAAAAAUAAUAAAAAAAUCAAAAACGCUUUUCUUUUGACAUAACAAAAAAAAAAAUAUAUAUAUAUAUAUAUAUAUGCAAAAGGUGUAAAAAAUCAUUCAAAUUUCGAUAUGAUUUUUGUCGCUUUUAGUCUUUUUGAAACAACACACAACUUCCAAUUUAAAAAAAGAAAUUAUAUCUCAAAAUACACAACAUGAGCAUACACGAGAAAAACAACUCAUACAUCAAGAGAAAAGCAAGUAAUUACAAACACAAAAUGUUAACAAAAUAAGCUUUAGCACAUCCCAUCAAAUGCGAGAAAGAAAGAUCAUCGCGACAUCAACAGCACCUUGUGACUUCAACCACACACAAAUUCCCCCCACAAUAACAAUAACAACAGAAAUUAGUCGAUACAAAUGAGUUUAAUAAACAUCCACAUCGUCACAGACAACAUA